rnacentral:piRNA from 1 species
GUAGAAUACUGGUCCACUAGUGGG